rnacentral:rRNA from 1 species
CAGUCGCCGCGGUAAUACGUAGGUGGCAAGUGUUGUCCGGAAUUAUUGGGCGUAAAGGGCUCGCAGGCGGUUUCUUAAGUCUGAUGUGAAAGCCCCCGGCUCAACCGGGGAGGGUCAUUGGAAACUGGGAAACUUGAGUGCAGAAGAGGAGAGUGGAAUUCCACGUGUAGCGGUGAAAUGCGUAGAGAUGUGGAGGAACACCAGUGGCGAAGGCGACUCUCUGGUCUGUAACUGAUGCUGAGGAGCGAAAGCGUGGGGAGCGAACAGGAUUAGAUACCCCUGUAGUCCCUGUCUCUUAUAC